GGACAGAGGGGAGCAAGACCGCAAGGUGGAGCAAAUCCCAAAACCCUUCCUCAGUUCGGAUUGUCGUCUGCAACUCGACGGCAUGAAGCUGGAAUCGCUAGUAAUCGUGGAUCAGCUACGCCACGGUGAAUACGUUCCCGGGCCUUGUACACACCGCCCGUCACGCCAUGGAAGUGGCGAGCGCCCGAAGUCCGUGCCGGAACCCGCAAGGGGCCAAGCGGCCGAAGGCGAGCGUCAUGACUGGGGCGAAGUCGUAANCAAGGUA
rnacentral:rRNA from 1 species